UAUUCAGAAGGCAAAUUGCAUGACAAUUGCUGUGAGAAGGAAGAGCAGCAAGUAUGGAGGAUAUCUCAUUACUACUAAGCGUCAUAAGAACUUUUGGCUUUUGGCAUAGAUAAAUUUAAUCUACCUUUUUAACAACAGUAUAAUUCCACAAAGUGGAGGAUGGUGUGUACGUAUGUAGCCUUACUCCUCCCUCGUGAAGGUAGAG
rnacentral:misc_RNA from 1 species